GAUGAAGAACGUAGCGAAAUGCGAUACGUAAUGUGAAUUGCAGAAUUCAGUGAAUCAUCGAAUCUUUGAACGCACAUUGCGCCCGCCAGUAUUCUGGCGGGCAUGCCUGUUCGAGCGUCAUUUCAACCCUCAAGACCCCUUCGGGGGACUUGGUGUUGGGGACCGGCACAGGGGCCUGCCUGCUUGUCUUGCAGCGCCCUCGCCGCCCCCGAAAUGAAUUGGCGGCCUCGUCGCGGCCUCCCCUGCGUAGUAGCACAACCUCGCAACGGGAACGUGACGGCGGCCACUGCCGUAAAACAACCCAAUUUUAUUAGAGUUGACCUCGAAUCAGGUAGGAAUACCCGCUGAACUUAAGCAUAUCAAUAAGCGGAGGA
rnacentral:misc_RNA from 1 species